rnacentral:rRNA from 1 species
GCCAGACUCCUACGGGAGGCAGCAGUCGGGAAUAUUGCGCAAUGGAGGAAACUCUGACGCAGUGACGCCGCGUAUAGGAAGAAGGUUUUCGGAUUGUAAACUAUUGUCGUGAGGGAAGAAAUUGACAGUACCUCAGGAGGAAGCUCCGGCUAACUAUGUGCCAGCAGCCGCGGUAAUACAUAGGGAGCAAGCGUUAUCCGGAUUUAUUGGGUGUAAAGGGAGCGUAGACGGCAGCGCAAGUCUGGAGUGAAAUGCCGGGGCCCAACCCCGGAACUGCUCUGGAAACUGUGAAGCUGGAGUGCAGGAGAGGUAAGCGGAAUUCCUGGUGUAGCGGUGAAAUGCGUAGAUAUCAGGAGGAACACCGGCGGCGAAGGCGGCUUACUGGACUGUAACUGACGUUGAGGCUCGAAGGCGUGGGGAGCAAACAGGAUUAGAUACCCGCGUA